UCUUGCGUUUUUGAUGGCUUUGCAGAGUAUGUAUUGGUGAGGAUAAAUGCGGUAAAACAAAACAAUUGGUAAUAAACCUGUAAAUUUGACUGGAAAUUGUAUCUACUGGGUAGAAUUCUAUAAUGGAAGUGAAAUUUAACAAGUCAGAUAAGUUCUUUUCUAUAGGCGAAUUAAAAAGAGCAACCUAGACCGUCAUUAUGUUCUUGCAUAUGGUACUCAAUUUAGAUAAUGAACAGAGAGAACUAAAGUUCAUUCAAUGGUGGCUGCUUUGGGAAUGACACCUGAAGCUAUGAACUUUUAGUGAAACAAGGAACUGUGAGCAUCUUCGUGACCGUAAAAGGGGGUCAGGGGAGACUGUAGGUCUCUAUUGUAUGGUAAGAAAAGCAGGAGAUACUGUAUAGCAUAUAGAAUAUGAACACUGUAUGUGCUUUAUUGGAUUUUCUUGUGCAUAAAGGGACACAAAAUUGAAAAAAUUAAUUGAAUUCCAUUUAACAGGCAUGGGAAGAUUAGAAUAGGUGGAUGAAAGCAUUCUGAUUUCUGACUAUGAUCCCGCAGGAAUAGCUGCAUAGAAGGAUAAAAGAUAAAUUGAUUGAGCUUUCUGCUACUGUGAGGAUCCUAGUUUCAGGGGACAUUACAGCCCACUGUUACCAGUCGGUUGUGGAUAGCAUUGAGCAUAUUGCAGCGAUCAAGGCUGCAGUAGAACUGAAGUGCCGGCCAGAUGAGUGUUCACGAGUCAAAUUUCACUUGCAAUGCAGCUGAGUGAGAGAGCUGGCUUGAAGGAUGGAGAGUUGGCUUUGGAAAACAUUAUCAAUGGUAGUGAUUUGCCAUGCUCUCAUCAUUCACCUCCACCCUCACCAUCGUUUAUGAUUUAUUGCAUUCGCUAAUCAUGCUUUGUGGCUCAAUUUCACUUUUAGAGAUUGUAUCAAUAGAGGAACACACUGUUUUUUUUUUACUCUAGAAGCUCAUUUGGUAAAAUUUAAUAAAUGGAGGUAAUGAUAAUGAGGCUCCUGAGUAUUUCACAGUGAGGUACCAUCCAAACUUUCGGCAGUGCAUCACCGUCUUUAGAUAAUUUUACUUGUUCCUUCGCUGAUCCCUAUUACUGCUGAUUAGCACUUGUCUUGAGUAACUAGAUGUGGUAACGAGUGAUUAACUGAUGAUGGAAACUUCUCAAAGGUGAAACAAAUGAAAAUGAAACUAUGUAUUGGUAUGUGAAUUUACUCACAAUCUCAUUGAUGUUACCUUUUAUUCAUAUUAUCCCAUUACCCUGUACUAGCGAUGUGUAAAUUCUUGUGUCAAUGGUAUUUCAAGAACUUAUGAAUCUAAGAUUUCUGAAUUUUAGAGCAUUAGAACUUAAGUUAGCAAACAUUACUCUUUGUAGAGAAUGUAUUACAAAUCGAUUAAGCUCUGGACUCUAUUUUUCAAUAUAUGGUUUUUGGCAUUCA